CAAACGCGCACUUCUUCUCGCGAUAACAUGCCCCAUGACUUUAAAAGGGAACCCUGUGCAAAUCAGGGACGGGCCCGCCGCUGUAACCCCGCUCGGAAUCGUUUUGACGCAAAGGGUGUUCAUGCCCCGUCAAACCGAUUCGGAGAGUACCGCCUGGUAUCAUACGCCACUGUCUUCUUGUGACGGGAAGGCCGCCGGGCGGGCGGGGAAGUCAGAAGACCUGCCUGAAAGGCCGCAUACCCC
rnacentral:ncRNA from 1 species